CCUCUCCGAGAUCUGUUGGGGGCCUCUGGGUGCCCCCCCCCCCUCCCCAGCACUCUCCACCCGGAGGCCGGGAUCCUCUGGGGCGGCGGAGGGGGCGGUUUUAUAUGGUGCCCUUUCCGCUGCUUCCAGCCUUUCCUCUGCGCCUCCCGGGCAGCCCAAGUGGCUCCAGGGCUCCUUUGCCAAUAAUAAGUGGGCACCGGGGUGGGGGGUGGGGGGGGGCACCUGUCCUUCCGUGACUCCCCCCCAAGGGGUUGGCGGUGCAAAGGGUCCAAUAUCUGAGGCCUAAGGCGGGGGGGGGGAGGAGGAGGGUUUGGGGACUUCCGUCGUCCCCUGGAUGGUCAGCCUGUGACUCCAGGAGCCUCUUCUGCACCCAGCUGGUACAUCUGGCCGUUUUCAUUCCCUUUAAGCCUGAAUGGCAAAUGGAGAUUAUUUUGCUACCUUCUGCUCUGUGGGGUUGUUUAGUGGUUUGGGGACGUUCUUUACCGCUGUACGUUUUGAAUGAGGGAUUUUAAAUUGACUACUAACAAAUCCUUUUAACUGCCUUAUCUUGAAGUGGUUCAGCUGGUAUUUCUCAACUACAACUUUGUUGUUAGCCGUAUUUUCUAAGCCUACUUCACUGUUCAACAGGGAUCCAACCUUUGUACCUAUCAUUGAUUUUCUGCAGGCUUCUUUUGUACAGUAUAUUUAGAUUCGACCUCUCUUGCUGCUGCUGUUCCCGGUGGGGUUUUGCUUCCUGCCCCCCUUUUAGUGGACAGCUGUUUCUCUUUGCUUUCUUUAUUUCAUAUUUUUGUUUGCCUCAUCUUAACAGCAUCAUGAAUUUCGGGCAUGAGAACUUCAGGCGCUCUUUAUCAAAUCUAAUCUAUUAAACCUUUAUCCUUGCUGUGUAAUCUAAUGGAAUAUUGUUUUGGGAGGCUGGGACUAUCUUAUCUGAGCUGCGGUACCAGCUCCUGAUUUCGUUGACUUAGCAAUUUAUCCUCUUUGUUGGUGGAGUAUAUUUGAAGUUAUCUAUCUGUUGAUAUCCACGUGCAGAAUCUUCUUUUAGGUUGUUGCAAGAAAAUAUUUGUGAUAAAUGUUGAAUUUCCUUGACAUUAGCCGACUUUGUUGUUUCAAACAUAAGAUCUAAUUUUCUUGCUAUUUCAUAUCCUUUUAUUUCCAACUGCUGUAAUUGGGGUGGUGGCUUUUUGGGGUGCUGUCAGGUUGACAAGCGGUUGUGGGUUCUGUUCUUGGAGCAGAGGGAAGGGAUUCUUUUUGUCAGUUUGCACCUGGGUUUCCUUGCUGAAGGAAGGGCGCUGUGGUGCAGAACCUCCUCCCGCCUCCACAGGAAAUUCCUUCACAGACUCCCUCAAGUCUCUGCAUGAAGCCUCUUAACCAGGCUUCUGAGAAGACCCUCCUCUCCCCGACUUCCAAGCCCAAACUGGUUGAAGAAUAAAGGAGCAAAAGUUGCUUUUGCCCGUGCAGGAGUGUGCGAAGGAUGUGUCAGAAGGAGGGCAAAGCAAGUGUGGGCUUGCGUCUUAUAGAGCGAUAGGAUGCUGCAAUUCUUCUCGUGGAUUUUUACAAAUAACGUUACAAGCUUCCGUGCUUUUCUUUCUGCUGCCCACCGAAAGACUCUUUCAAAGAAGAAGAAGUAGGUCGGUACCUGUGUUUCUCAUCAGCACACGAUGGAUGGUUUCUAGUCUAAUUUUAUCUAAUUGAAAAUCUCCUGGAGAACUGUGGCCCCUGGGCUGCCUCAUUCUUCCAUUGCUGCGAAGUCUUAAUUGGCCUCGAUUUUUGGCAGUCAAAGAAUAGGGGACCUCUGCCAGAGUCUCGGCAUAAGGAGGGUUUUCCAUGGGAGAGUUUUCAUUCUUUGCUAAGAAUGCCCCAUAGCCCCAUAGUCAGCCAAGAGGUGUGGGUCCUCCCCCCCUUGUAAAGGGCAACUUUUCUGCCAACCUCUCAUUGAGUCCUUGGGUGGCACCCCUUCCCUCGGCCUCUGCUCAUUGAUUGCUUGCCAGGGAUUUAGCCCUGGCUCUUGAAACAAGAGGACUUUCAAAGGGAGCAUGUGAUGCUUGUUGGAACAAGAUUUGGGUGUGCUUGUGCAGGGGAUCUUGGGGAAAGCGGCACUACAAUUCUUCAUUGUUUUAGGCAGGGGUCAAAGUUCGGCUGAGCUGGCUGAUGGGCGUUUGAAGGAGAGGACCUGGAGGUAUUUUAGGCCAAGUCCCAAGAUGAGGUAAGGGCGAUGAAGG